rnacentral:rRNA from 1 species
UACGGAGGGUGCUAGCGUUAAUCGGAGUUACUGGGCGUAAAGGGCGCGUAGGCGGCUAAUUAAGUGGGGUGUGAAAUCCCUGGGCUUAACCUAGGAACUGCAUCUAAUACUGGAUAGCUAGAGUAUGGAAGAGGGUAGUGGAAUUUCCGGUGUAGCGGUGAAAUUCGUAGAUAUCGGGAGGAACACCGGUGGCGAAGGCGGCUACCUGGACAGAUACUGACGCUGAGGCGCGAAAGCGUGGGGAGCAAACAGG